rnacentral:lncRNA from 1 species
UAACUUGUUAUGGAAAUUUUUAAUUUUUUAAAUGAUGUCUCCUUUUACACUAAAAAUAAUUUAAAAGUUUAUCAAAAAAUUUUCUAAACCACGUAAAAAAAUUUAUCAGAUUAUUUACAAAAUUAAUUUUGUAAUAGUAGUGAUAUAUUAAUUAAGUUGAAAAAUUAAAAUAGGAUUGAAGAAUAAAAUGGAAAAAUGAAAAUACUUUACAAAUGAACAGUAAUAACAUAUUCAUUCUUACAAUGUAGGGAUAGAGAAAAGUAGGGAAAAUAAAUACAAAAACUGCUGAAUUGCAGCAAAUUCAUUAUAUAUUGUUGGAAUUGUAAUUAUAUAAAUUUAUUUAUUUUGUUCGAAAGUAUUGGAAUGAUUAUUAUAUAAUUUUGUUCUUGUAUGUCGACACAGAAUUUUUUUUUAAUCCAUUUCUGUAAUUG